UACGAAGGGGGCUAGCGUUGCUCGGAAUCACUGGGUUUAAAGGGUGCGUAGGUGGGUUGGUAAGUCAGUGGUGAAAUCUCCAGGCUUAACUUGGAAACUGCCAUUGAUACUAUCAAUCUUGAAUACCGUGGAGGUCAGCGGAAUAUGUCAUGUAGCGGUGAAAUGCUUAGAUAUGACAUAGAACACCAAUUGCGAAGGCAGCUGGCUACACGAAUAUUGACACUGAUGCACGAAAGCGUGGGGAUCAAACAGG
rnacentral:rRNA from 1 species